CAGUAGCCGCGGUAAUACGUAGGUGGCAAGCGUUGUCCGGAAUUAUUGGGCGUAAAGGGCUCGCAGGCGGUUUCUUAAGUCUGAUGUGAAAGCCCCCGGCUCAACCGGGGAGGGUCAUUGGAAACUGGGAAACUUGAGUGCAGAAGAGGAGAGUGGAAUUCCACGUGUAGCGGUGAAAUGCGUAGAGAUGUGGAGGAACACCAGUGGCGAAGGCGACUCUCUGGUCUGUAACUGACGCUGAGGAGCGAAAGCGUGGAGAGCGAACAGGAUUAGAUACCCGCGUAGUCCCUGUCUCUUAUAA
rnacentral:rRNA from 1 species